rnacentral:tRNA from 1 species
GGGCGUAUGGUCUAGAGGUAUGAUACCUGCUUUGGGCAAACAUGACCGAAUGCAGGGGGUCUUCGGUUCGAAUCCGGAUUCGCCCC